AUGGAUUCAACAGAAGACGACAUAUCUGCUCGAAUUCUGUUCAGGAGAGUUCUGCAUACAGAGUUACCGAGAUCUCCUGUAACCAGAAGUGGAACAAAUGUACGGCAGAGCAUGAGGCUGAAAAACACCCCUGGACUGGAGAGUCCUGGAUCUGCCUUGCGUCACAUACUCAAGAAGAAGCUCCAUGAGAGUGCCUCCCUGUCACCCCUCCCUUCACCUAAACGGCCAAGGUCAACAGUGCCAAAUCCAAACCCUCCUGUGACGGUCCCGUCCCCGGUGCAUGAUGAGGACAUGACCACUCGUGGUCUGCUCAGGGGGAUCAUUCAGACGGUGGCCUGA
ensembl:lncRNA